rnacentral:rRNA from 1 species
CCCUUAGAUGUUCUUGGCUGCACCCGUGCUACACUGGCAGGUUCAGCGAGCUUCAUGCCCUGAUCUGAAAGGAAUGGGAAAUCUUUUCAAAACCUGCCGUGCUUGGGAUAGAUGUUUGCAAUUAUUCAUCUUCAACGAGGAUUGCCUUGUAAGCGCACGUCAUCAGCGUGCAUUGAAUACGACCCUGUAUUCUGUACACACCGCCCGUCGCUCCUACCGAUUGAAGUUUUCGGUGAGUUGACAGGAGGAUUUUUUUGAAACUGGUUCGCCAGUGGAUUUUAGAUCCAAAUGCCAACGAAUCGAUGGCUUUAGAGGAAGGAGAAGUCGUAACA